rnacentral:lncRNA from 1 species
AUGGUGCCCAGCAGGAAUGGCAUAAUCCUGAAGCCCCACUUUUGUAAGUACUGGCAGUGGCCUAUAGCAAUAUGGUUCACCCAGCCUGCAAGGAAGAGCCACAGACAUGGGACUGGGCAAGCCCACUGCAUUGCCCGGUGCCUUGUAUCUGGACCCACUGGCCCCUAGUAAAAUGCCCCACAUGAGGUUUCACACCAAGUACAAGCUGGUAGGGGCUUCAGCUUGGAAGAAUUAAGGGUGGCCAGCAUCCACAAGAAGAUGGCCUGGACCAUUGAUUUCUCUAUUGAUCCAAGGAGGUGAGACAAGUCUACUGAGUCCCUGCAGGCCAAUGUAUAACAGCUGUAGGAGUACUGCUGGAAGCUUAUCCUCCUUCUCUAGAAACCUCAGCCUCCGAGAAGAGAGACAGCUACACUGAAGAACUCAAAUUGGCCAUCACACUGACAGGACCGGUAAUGUUCAUAUGAAAUACCUAUACGAAGGAGAAAGCCAGAGUCAUCACCAAGGAGGAAGAGAACUUAAUGCCUGGCUCUUUGGCCUCUGGGCAAAAAGGACCAAGGAAGCUGCAGAACAGGAUAUUGAAAAGA